CCGGCAUCGGGAAGAGGGAAAAGGAGCAAUCCGCUUUGAGAUGGCCUCGCGUCCGAUUAGCUAGUUGGUGAGGUAACGGCCCACCAAGGCGACGAUCGGUAGCCGGACUGAGAGGUUGAACGGCCACAUUGGGACUGAGACACGGCCCAGACUCCUACGGGAGGCAGCAGUGGGGAAUAUUGCACAAUGGGGGAAACCCUGAUGCAGCGACGCUGCGUGGAGGAAGAAGGUCUUCGGAUUGUAAACUCCUGUUGUUGAGGAAGAUAAUGACGGUACUCAACAAGGAAGUGACGGCUAACUACGUGCCAGCAGCCGCGGUAAAACGUAGGUCACGAGCGUUGUCCGGAAUUACUGGGUGUAAAGGGAGCGCAGGCGGGCGAUCAAGUUGGAAGUGAAAUCCAUGGGCUCAACCCAUGAACUGCUUUCAAAACUGAUCGUCUUGAGUAGUGCAGAGGUAGGCGGAAUUCCCGGUGUAGCGGUGGAAUGCGUAGAUAUCGGGAGGAACACCAGUGGCGAAGGCGGCCUACUGGGCACCAACUGACGCUGAGGCUCGAAAGUGUGGGUAGCAAACAGGAUUAGAUACCCUGGUAGUCCACACCGUA
rnacentral:rRNA from 1 species